rnacentral:rRNA from 2 species
UAGCAUAUCAAUAAGCGGAGGAAAAGAAACCAACAGGGAUUGCCCUAGUAACGGCGAGUGAAGCGGCAACAGCUCAAAUUUGAAAUCUGGCUCUUUCAGAGUCCGAGUUGUAAUUUGCAGAGGGCGCUUUGGCUUUGGCAGCGGUCCAAGUUCCUUGGAACAGGACGUCACAGAGGGUGAGAAUCCCGUACGUGGUCGCUAGCUAUUGCCGUGUAAAGCCCCUUCGACGAGUCGAGUUGUUUGGGAAUGCAGCUCUAAAUGGGAGGUAAAUUUCUUCUAAAGCUAAAUAUUGGCCAGAGACCGAUAGCGCACAAGUAGAGUGAUCGAAAGAUGAAAAGCACUUUGGAAAGAGAGUCAAACAGCACGUGAAAUUGUUGAAAGGGAAGCGCUUGCAGCCAGACUUGCUUGCAGUUGCUCAUCCGGGCUUUUGCCCGGUGCACUCUUCUGUAGGCAGGCCAGCAUCAGUUUGGGCGGUGGGAUAAAGGUCUCUGUCACGUACCUCUCUUCGGGGAGGCCUUAUAGGGGAGACGACAUACCACCAGCCUAGACUGAGGUCCGCGCAUCUGCUAGGAUGCUGGCGUAAUGGCUGUAAGCGGCCCGUCUUGAAACACGGACCAAGGAGUCUAACAUCUAUGCGAGUGUUUGGGUGUCAAGCCCGAGCGCGUAAUGAAAGUGAACGGAGGUGGGAACCCGCAAGGGUGCACCAUCGACCGAUCCUGAAGUUUACGGAAGGAUUUGAGUAAGAGCAUGGCUGUUGGGACCCGAAAGAUGGUGAACUAUGCUUGAAUAGGGUGAAGCCAGAGGAAACUCUGGUGGAGGCUCGCAGCGGUUCUGACGUGCAAAUCGAUCGUCAAAUUUGGGCAUAGGGGCGAAAGACUAAUCGAACUAUCUAGUAGCUGGUUCCUGCC